UACGGGGGGGGCAAGCGUUGUUCGGAAUUACUGGGCGUAAAGGGCUCGUAGGUGGCCAACUAAGUCAGACGUGAAAUCCCUCGGCUUAACCGGGGAACUGCGUCUGAUACUGGAUGGCUCGAGUUUGGGAGAGGGAUGCGGAAUUCCAGGUGUAGCGGUGAAAUGCGUAGAUAUGCGGAGGAACACCGAUGGCGAAGGCAAUCCCCUGGGCCUGUACUGACGCUCAUGCACGAAAGCGUGGGGAGCAAACAGG
rnacentral:rRNA from 1 species